UACGUAGGUGGCAAGCGUUGUCCGGAUUUAUUGGGUUUAAAGGGUGCGUAGGCGGCCUUAUAAGUCAGUGCUGAAAUAUCCCAGCUUAACUGGGAGGGUGGCAUUGAUACUGUAGGGCUUGAGUCGAGUUGAGGUUGGCGGAAUUGACGGUGUAGCGGUGAAAUGCUUAGAUAUCGUCAAGAACACCGAUAGUGAAGACAGCUAACUAAGCUCAAACUGACGCUGAGGCACGAAAGUGUGGGGAUCAAACAGG
rnacentral:rRNA from 1 species